rnacentral:misc_RNA from 1 species
GUCGACCGCCAUUUUGUGAAAAAACAUUACAUUACACGCGCUUACGGUGGCGGUUACGCAUUGGAGAUUUUAGGUGAUUUAUAUCUUUUUCUGGAAUAUAGUGAUAGAAGCAGUGUUUUGUUAGUUCACAGGUAAAAUUUGAGCAAUGGACAAUCAAAGAGAGAAGGAAAGGGACCGCUCUAGACGCGGUGAUAGGCCUUCUAGAUUUUCUGAUGCCACUCGAGAUCGUUCUAAUGAACGUUCUGAUCGGUCAGAUGGUAAACGUCUGUUUGUAUCCAAUAUACCGUAUGAGUUUCGCUGGACAGAAUUGAAAGAUCUGUUCAAGGAAAAGGUGGGAGAUGUGGCAUAUGUGGAGCUAUUUAAUGAUGAAAAUGGAAAACCCAGGGGAUGUGGUGUUGUGGAAUUCACCAAUUCUGAAGCUAUGAAGAAAGCACUGUUUGUCAUGCACAGAUAUGAACUUAAUGGACGAAAACUUGUGCUAAAAGAGGAAACUGGAAAUGAAAGGAAUAGAUUGACCACUUCAAGGUCAGGAGGUGGUGGUGGUGGUGGUGGGGGCUCCAGAAAUACUAAAGAUGAUAGAGAUGGCUGGGGAGUAAACAAGCCAAGGGAACCAGAAAACUUCAACACAUAUGGGCUUAGUCUUCAGUUCUUAGAAUCCAUCAAUGUUCAGCCACCAUUGGUAAAGAAAGUCUUUGUUGCAAAUCUGGACUACAAAGCAGACCGUAACAAGAUUAAAGAAGUUUUCAAAAUGGCGGGCAAAGUGCGUAAUAUCGACCUGGCGGUAGAUAAAGAUGGUAACAGUCGCGGGUUCGCCGUCAUAGAAUAUGACCAUCCAGUUGAAGCUGUUCAGGCAAUUUCAAUGUUUGACAAACAGACUUUGUAUGAGAGAAGGAUGACAGUAAGAAUGGACAGAGGUACAGAUAAAGCUGAAUUAAGGAUGCCUGAUGGCCUUAAAGGGAUUGGUUUGGGUUUGGGACCUAAUGGGGAGCCAUUAAGGGAUGUGGCGAGGAAUUUGCCACAGCCUCAAACACAGAAUAAUCUGAACCUCACAAGUACAGGCUCGACCCUUGGCACUAGUGUUCUUGGUGCUGUGCCUGCUGCUGGUGUUACCCUGAACGGCCUUGGCACUGGAUUAUCAGCAAAUACUCUUAAUACAAACACUGCGCUAGGUGGAGGCUUGGGAUUGCAGGCUUUAGGAUUAACAGGAUUAGGAGCGCUACAAAACCAAUUACUCCAACAAGGUUUGACUGCAAGUGACCUGGCGACGAUGCUCACGGCCCAGGCUCAGGUAGCCAAUGUAAACAACGCAGCCACUUUGAGUCUUGCCAACGCGGACCUCACUUCUAAUGUUCUCGGCAACUCUGGACUGUCAAAUAAUGUUUUGGGUGGCAAUUCUUCCAUGAGCAGUGGACCACUUUCAGCGAGCAGACAAAUGGGCGGUAUGUCGUCGGUAUCGAACCAGGGUUACAGCCGUGAGUCAUCAGUACAGCAUCAACAGUCGAACAGAGAUAAGCCCUCCGACAUCGUCGUUAUCACCAAUCUUCCGCCUACAGUAACAUGGCAGUUGAUCCGCGAGAAGUUCAGCGAGUGUGGCGACGUGAAGUUCGCGGAGAUGACCGCGCCAGACACGGCUAUCGUGCGCUUCCAUAAGGAAUGGGACGCGGAAAGAGCUAUCAAAAUGUUUGACAGGACCCGCAUUGAUGGCAGGACUAUCGAUGUUCGUUUCUUCUAAGUUGACGGGAAUUACCAACAGGAAAUUAAUGCAUUAAAUGGAAUUUAAAUGAUGUCUUAUACGACACUGAGAAUCUCGGAUACUAAAGAAUUGCAUGGCCAAGUCGAAGGGAAUUGGACGAUAUGUAAAACCAACAGGCAUGCAGUCUUGGAAGUGUAGAGCGUUGGACCAAGGAAGGUGCAGUCGUGAAGUCUUGAACCAUGCAGUGGAUGACGAGCUGGUCGGUAAGUACAUUUUAUGGUG